AUUAAAUCAUGCAGAAGACAACAGUUUUGUGAUGUGGCAAUUUGGCCCAGCUGAACUUUUUUUUUUUUUUUUCCCCCAGAAUUCCUUCCCUGCCUGUUUCUAUUUAGGGAGGGUGGUUGUGAAGUAGCAGCCAUUUUGUUUUUAUGCUCAAAAUGUUGGGCAGGAUACUUUUGUAGCUCACAUAUGUUGUUGCUUCUCUGCUGGCUCAUUUGAUGGCUAUGGGGCAGCAGCUCAGCCUGCCACCACCUCUAGAUGUUUCUUCAGCUUCUCCAACUCCAAGGCUGGGAAGAAUAUGAAGUCAAGGAAGACCAUCCACAGAAAAGAUGCUUGCCAAACUCCCAGGUUCCUGGCAGAAUGAAUAAUGUGAAUAAAAUGCAUGUUUAGUCCAACAGUCCUUCUUAAGUGGUAUAUAAAUAAAUAGUAUACAAUAAUAGAUUUUGUAUGGUGCAAUUGUUUUUAUUCAGAAAUGUAGAUACAUAGAAAUACAGUAUCUUAAAAACAUAGGAAGUUCCAGGGCUGCCCACUUACUGCUUCCUGUAUCAGGCGGCAUGAGAGUUACUGAGGAUACAAAGAUGAGUGAGACACUGCCCUGUAAAGCCAUAAUUGAGUUCACCUUUAUGAAUCUGUGUCUUAAUUCUGACACAUCAUUUGAAAGUCAUUUUUGGGGUAAAGGGGAAGGAAUCAGGAGAAGAUUAGAAAAAUCUCCAAUGACAUCUUAAUUAUAAAGGUAGGGGAAGCUUUGUUUUGGAGGGCACUUUAUGUAGAACUAAAGUAUUUUACAUAAUCCUAG
rnacentral:lncRNA from 1 species